GGUUAUAAUCAUUGUUGUGUUAUGCGUCAUUCAUAUGAACUAAUGGGACCCACAAGGGGUCGGAUCCACAAGGGAUCAAAGAGCUGAACGGCCCACAAGGGGUCAGGUCCACAAGGGACCGAGACUAGUCUCACAAGAUGUCAGCUAAGUGAAAAAUUAUAAGAGUUCAACAUGUUAUGAUUCAUUACACAAUUGGUUAUAACUGCUUGCAG
rnacentral:lncRNA from 1 species